rnacentral:lncRNA from 1 species
CUGCCGACUUUUCUUUCACUUUCACUUAGAGCAAGAUGGCAGCCCGCGUCCCUGUGUGAAGCCGUCUGCAGCAGCUGCCAGAGCCCUGCUUGCUGUUUCCUUUCUCACCACCCACCUCACCCGGAAAUCCCCUGGUGAUUUCAAGACCUGACCUCUGCACCCUUUUGCUCCCCACCUGUCCCAAAAAAGUGGAGCUAUAACUGUGGGAAAAGGGGAUCUGAAGUCAGACACAGGAUCCACAGUAGCCUGGGGACCUUUCUCACCCCCGCCCUUAAGCAGGCCCCAACAUAACCGGCUGAGAAACCUCCUCUGCCAGAUCCUGACCUGAGCCAGGAGGCGGCCAGGAAACUGGAUUUUGGGACUGGGAUUUCAGAGAGGAAGCUGGAGAGCUGCAGGGUGGUCAUCUGUCACUUUAUUUUGCCCGUCUUGUAGCAUUCUCGAAAAGGCACUCUGUCACGUGUACACAGGAAAGGGCCCUGACAAGAGGAUGGGACUGCAGUUGUGGCUGCCAGAGUCUUGCUUUGUCGCCCAGGUUGGAGUGCAGUGGCACGAUCUCGGCUCAGUGCAACCUCCGCCUCCUGAGUUCAAGUGAUUCUCCUGCCUCAGCCUCCCUAGUAGCUGGGAUUACAGGACAAGGAGAGGGACAAAUUCCUUCUUGGCAUCCUUAUGGCCCUGUGACCUGCUAAUGAAUGCUGACUCUGAGUUGCUACUAGAAUUUGGUUUCCUUGUGGCUUCCCAGGAAUUGUGAGCCAUGUUGGAUAAGGACCUGCAAGGGAAGAAUGAGGAAGCCUGGGACAGUGCAGGAGGGGAGAGCACUGGUGGUAGAGAGGAGUGAUGACAAGGGUCUCCGCCAAAAGGGAAAUGGAGGGGUUAAAGAAGCUGCUGGGGAGGGUUAAAAACAAUGUGUUCUCACUCGUAGGUGGGAAUUGAACAAUGAGAACACUUGGACACAGGAAGGGGAACAUCACACACUGGGGCCUGUCGUGGGGUGUGGGGAGGGAGGAGGGAUAGCAUUAGGAGAUAUACCUAAUGUAAAUGAUGAGUUAAUGGGUGCAGCACACCAACAUGGCACAUGUAUACCUAUGUAACAAACCUGCACAUUGUGUACAUGUACCCUAGAACUUAAAGUAUAAUUAAAAAACAAAACAAAACAAAACAAAAACAAUGAGGUGCUAUUGUUUUAGUGGUGAGUAUCCGGAGACCUGGGAGUUCUAUUUACCAGGUAUAACCUGGGCUCAAAAUUCCAGGCUGACUUCAGGCAUGUCCUCAUCUCAUAGAUGCCAGCACUAAGGCCCAGAGAGGGCCGAGCUCAUUCAGCCCACCCAUCUUCUCACCCCUGACUGCAUUUCCCGGGGGUCCUUCUGCAGCCAGGUGCUGCUGUGGUACUUUGGGAUCUAUUGGCUGAGCUCCCAGAGAAGGGUCAUGGAUUGGGCUAGUUUGGAACAAGUGAAGGGACUGAAGAUGGGCUCAGUAUGGGGCGAAGACCUUCAGGAAGGGUCUGCAGAGUGAGUAGGGGGGUUUUGACUAGGAAAAGUUCCAACCCUGCCGGGGCCGCUGUCAAGAGAAAAGCAUCUAUUACAGUUACAUUUUUAAGUUAAGUAGACUGAAGAAUAUUUCUUGUGUAUUAAAGACGUUCCUUUUUGGUUGAUUUGCAAUGGAAAAGCUUUUGUUUUCUUUUUUUUUUUGGAAACAGGGUCUCACUCUGCUCACUCUGUCUCCCAAGCUGGAGUGCAGUGGUACAGUCACGGCUCACUGCAGCCUCCACUUCCUGGACUCAAGUGAUCUUCUCACUUCAGCCUUCUGAGUAGCUGGGACUACAGCCCCCUCUGCAGCUCUUCAUGGGGGUCCACUCAAGUCAGAAGCCACAUUUGGGUGUGAUUCAGAGAGCUGUUUAUGCAAAACCAGCUUUGUCACCAUCAGGCAAGGCACCUGAAUUCCCACCGCAGAGAGUGUUGUGGCCGUGAGGACUUUUCUGUCACCAGCCAUUUCCAGGUAGACCCAGUGUAAUCACAAGCAUCCUUGUAAGUGGCAAAGAGGCAGAGGAGACAGCGCCAGAGAGGCAGCUGCAUGAGAAGGAUCAAGAUGUUGCUGACUUUGAAGUUGGAAGAAGAAGGCCAUGAGCCUCAGUAUGUGGGCGGCUUCUAGAAGCUGGAAGGGGCAAGGAGAUGGAUUUGACCCUUCAGCCUCCAGGGGCAGCUGUACCUGCCAUCACUGAUUGUAGCCUGGUGAGGCCUGUUUUAGACUUCUGACCUGUAGAGCUGUAACAUAAUACAUUUGGGUUGUUUUCAACCACUAAGUUUGUGGUAAUUUGUUGUAGCAGCUGUAGAAAAUGAAUACAUAUGAAUCCUCUGGCAUUUGUUUGAGAUUUGCUCUAUGGCCUAGUAUGUGGUUGUAAAUGUUCCAUCUGUGCCUGAAAAAAUGUAUAUUUCUAAUUCAGUAGUCUCUGCUUUUUUUUUUUAUUUUGUACCCCAUCAAUAAAAUGAUUUUCAGCAUGUAUCCCCAAAUAAACAAUAUUUUAUUUAUUGAUUGAUUGAUAAACAGACAUGUUUAAUGAUAGCUUGCUUUUCACAGAGGUGACUUCGGAGACUUCUAAUCUAUAAUCCAGGAGUAUAUAACCAUG